rnacentral:rRNA from 1 species
GAUGAUCACUACAUCAAUAAAUUUCAGUUUUGCGUGGGCAAUAGCCGCUUUCGCAAUAUCUAUCGGUUUUUGACUCACAUCCGAUGGGAAAAACUCGACAUCGACCUCAGCGGCUAAGGUUUCAAGCUGCUUAAUCGCUGCUGGACGAUAUACGUCUGCACUAACGACUAAUACGGAUUUCUUAUGGCGAGUGCGCAGCAAUUUACCAAGCUUGGCGACGCUAGUCGUUUUACCGGCACCUUGCAGACCCGCCAUCAUUAAUACGGCUGGCGGUUGAGUGGCUAAAUCGAGGGCUUCGUUCGCUUCGCCCAUGGAUUUUUCAAGUUCGCUUUGAACAAUCUUAAUAAAGGCUUGACCAGGGCUUAAGCUUUUAGCCACUUCUUGGCCAACGGCACGUUCUUUCACAUUGUUAACAAAUUCACGCACCACAGGCAGGGCAACAUCCGCCUCCAGCAGUGCCAUACGCACUUCGCGCAGGGUUUCCUUAACGUUUUCUUCGGUUAAGCGACCACGGCCACUGAUAUUUUUCAGCGUGCGUGACAGUCUGUCGGUUAGGUUCUCAAACAUCGUCCUGUUCUAUACCUUUAAGAAUCUCGAUUAAUGCCUGUAUUAUAACGAUGCGGGCGCAUUAUGCUACUGCCACAAAAAUCUUGAUGGCACUUGCGUAUUUUACUCGCACAGACUCAUGUUUUAGUGGUAAUUACGAAUUAUUUAUGAUUAACAACAAGAAUCUGCUAAAUUUUGCAACUCAAGUCACUGCCCAUUUACUGGCAGCCCAUGUUAUUCUAAAUAAAAUUUUGAUCUGUCUGCCCAGUUAAUACCCAAACAACCUGAAGAUGCAAGAUUCAGCGGGAAUUUAAGGCACCUUUAACAACACAAAAUAGGUUAAUUACCCAUGGUCAUCUUUUCUGCCUCAGCCAUGUUUUUUUAUUGCAUUGCGUUGGUAUUAGUGACAAGCCGACUUUUUCAUCCCGAAGGUCCAAAUCGUAGAGCCGUUGCAGGUGUCGCAUCGAUUGCCGUGAUAUUGCAUGCUGCAGCCCUUUCGCAGGGAAUUUUCACUACAGACGGCCAAAAUUUUAGCCUGACGAAUGUCAUCUCACUCGUAAACUGGAUUAUCGCCUUCACUUUCACUGUGUUGAUGUUUAGGCUUAAAGUGAUUGUUGUCGUCCCCGUGGUCUAUGCCUGUUCUGUGUUAUCUGUAGCCCUACUUUGGCUAUUACCACCUAAAUUUAUCAUCCAUUUUGAACUUUAUCCCGAAGUGUUAGCUCACGUUGUCUUGUCACUUAUGGCCUAUAGCGCAUUAAUGAUUGCCGCUUUGUAUGCAAUACAACUCGCCAUGAUCCAAAACAAGCUCAAGAAAAAACAAUUGAUGCUAAGUCCCGGUAUUCCCCCACUAAUGACAGUUGAGAAACAGCUUUAUCAUCUCGUGAUUAUUGGGGUGAUUUUGCUCAGUUUAUCGCUAGCGACAGGGUUCAUCUUCCUCGAUGAUAUGUUUGCCGAUGGCAAAGGCCACAAAGCCAUACUGUCAAUAAUGGCGU